CUUUAUCUUUAUUUGUCAUCACGACUUGACUUAAACAAUAUAAAACUAUGUAAGAAAUUAUGAAGCUGUAUUAAAAGUUCAUGUGCCAUUUGGCCCCGCUUUACACUUUUGACAACCAUCCACGGCAACGAGCCCCCAGCACGCAGACUGCACUCCCUAGGCUGGCAUCACAAAUGCGCUUGUUAUUAUUUUGUUGACAUAUGAGUAAAAAUGCGCCGCAGCUUUGCUUGUCAUGUCUGGGUAAGCGUGUAAUAUGAACAUGGAAGUGGCGUGCUGCAGUGGAGCCACAGCGGGAUGUAAAUACGCCAGCCACGAGCUGCACUUGAAGAAGUUGUCGACGAGAAACCAAUCAACACACAACAAUGGCAGCUGGCAAGUCAGCGGAAUCGCGAGUAGCCCCUCCACACUGCUCAAUACGGGACACGUUUACAAGCUUUAAUACUCACAAUUCCCGCUCGAAAAGUGCGCAAGAAGUAACAAUGAGGCGGCUAAAAAGCUGGGUUGUGCCGCGCUAGACCGGAACUGGGUUGGGCCAAUUUGGGAGAACGCCAUUUUCGUGUUCUUGCCAAGAACCGAGCCGAAGUGCAGCAUGCGCGUGGCCCAACCGUGUUGCCAUUAAAAAUUUAUUUAAAAUGUCGAGAGCAGGCAUAUGCAAUUCUGUAAAGUAUAUAUACAUUUUUGUGAAGUUUACUUCUCUGAUUGUAUAUGUGCGUCCAGAGAGUUUUGCAAGAAACGGAUGAUAAGCUCAGUAGCCCCUUUUUGAGGAAACUACAUGCAUUAUUUGUUGGGCUGCAAUAUGCAUUUCAACCGAACCGGCUUGCACCCAGAAUGGAACGGAUUAAUUGAAGGAAGAACAUCCGAAUCUUAUCUUCAACAUAUUUUUAUAGUUCACACAAUUUCAGAAAGUCAUGCAUAUAUAAAAUCAUUCUAAAUGAACGAAGCGAUUUGUUGCACAGUGUUAUCCGUA